GCCAGCCUGGUGUGCAGGAUGUCGCUACUGGAAGCCGUCCUCUUCUUCUCCUUCUGGGCUUGUGGCCUUGGGCAGUUAAAGUUGGAGCAACGUGAUAUAUCAAUUUCCAGGGCAAGAGAUAAGACUGCCCAUAUAUCUUGUACCGUGUCUUCUAGCACCUUUAGCACAGACUACAUACACUGGUACCGGCAGAAACCAGAUCAGAGUAUAGAACAUUUAAUAUAUGCUCACUCAUCAACCCCUACUCGUGGGAAAAACAAUAAAAUUGAAGCAAGUAAAGAUCUUCACACUUCCACUUCCACCUUGAAAAUAAAUUUCUUAGAGAAACAAGAUGAGGCCGUGUACUUCUGUGCCUGCUGGACUAGCACGCACAACGUUAGAGUUGCCAAGAUACCAGUGCAAGAACCACCCUCAGUCUGUGCCCACACACAUCCUUCUCAAUAUGGGCGACCGCAGAGGCUGCACAUCUGGGCACCCAGCCUGAGCCUCCCUCCCCACAGAACUUGA